GAUGAACGCUAGCGGCAGGCUUAACACAUGCAAGUCGAGGGGUAGAGGAAGCUUGCUUCCUUGAGACCGGCGCACGGGUGCGUAACGCGAAUGCAACCUACCUUUUACAGAGGGAUAGCCCAGAGAAAUUUGGAUUAAUACCUCAUGGUAUAUAUCAUUCGCAUGUUUGAUAUAUUAAAGUUCCAACGGUAAAAGAUGGGCAUGCGUCCUAUUAGCUAGAUGGUAAGGUAACGGCUUACCAUGGCAACGAUAGGUAGGGGUCCUGAGAGGGAGAUCCCCCACACUGGUACUGAGACACGGACCAGACUCCUACGGGAGGCAACAGUGAGGAAUAUUGGACAAUGGGCGCAAGCCUGAUCCAGCCAUGCCGCGUGCAGGAAGAAGCAUCUAUGGUGUGUAAACUGCUUUUGUACGGGAAGAAACACUCCUUCGUGAAGGAGCUUGACGGUACUGUAAGAAUAAGGAUCGGCUAACUCCGUGCCAGCCGCCGCGGUAAAAC
rnacentral:rRNA from 1 species